GUGGGUGUGAGAAGAGAAGCCAUUGCAGAAAAUACCUGUCUCUGAACGCACGGGGAAGAAUCAAACUAGAACUUUGUGGAAAAGCUCUGACAGACAAAGGGGAGAAACCAAGAUUGCUUUACUGAGACGAAACAGCAAGAUAUUUACAACUGGGGCAAAGACCAUAAUCUCUGAGUGUACGAUGAAUCGACCCCCAGUCUCUCAAAGAGUGCAGUAUCUUAUUGGUUUUGUUGAUUGCGGCUCUGCACUGGUCACACAUGGCACUCGGCAUGACUCUCUGAAGUCUGCCAGGCCUCUUCCAACCUCGGCAAUUUCAACAUCCUUCAUGAAAGAACUGCAAAAUCAAUAUUUUCUCUCCACGGGCAGCUGCUCACACCUUCCUGGUAAACCAGCAUUCCAGCUGCUGUUCCUUCACCAUGAGCUGUUCCUUGGGGUAGUUUCCAGUUGCAACUCAUCCAUCGCCAAUACCGUCAGCAUCUCCAGGAUUACCUCUCUUCAUGCAGCUCCAUCGUCAAGCCUUGGGGCUUCUCAGGACUCACUGACUUUGUUCAACAACUGCCAGCCUGACCUAUUUGCUUGGUGUUAUCUGU